ACUGGUUGAAAAUAGCCCUGGCUUUGGCCGUAGCCGUGGGUGAGAUUCAGCGCCUAGAGCCACCAGGAGCCUCAGCUCAUCUCCCACUGCCUGUGUGGAAAGGUGAGACCCAGGCCCCGACAGGC
ensembl:snoRNA